rnacentral:rRNA from 1 species
GACGAACGCUGGCGGCGUGCCUAAUACAUGCAAGUCGAACGAGAGCGACCGGUGCUUGCACUGGUCAAUCUAGUGGCGAACGGGUGAGUAACACGUGGGUAACCUGCCCAUCAGAGGGGGAUAACAUCCGGAAACGGAUGCUAAAACCGCAUAGGUCUUCGAGCCGCAUGGCUUGAAGAGGAAAAGAGGCGCAAGCUUCUGCUGAUGGAUGGACCCGCGGUGCAUUAGCUAGUUGGUGAGGUAACGGCUCACCAAGGCCGUGAUGCAUAGCCGACCUGAGAGGGUGAUCGGCCACAUUGGGACUGAGACACGGCCCAAACUCCUACGGGAGGCAGCAGUAGGGAAUCUUCCGCAAUGGACGCAAGUCUGACGGAGCAACGCCGCGUGAGUGAAGAAGGUUUUCGGAUCGUAAAACUCUGUUGUUAGAGAAGAACAAGUGCUAGAGUAACUGUUAGCACCUUGACGGAUCUAACCAGAAAGCCACGCA